UUAGUUCGUUGCGGCGUUUCGUUGCCCAGCUCGCGUUUUUCAUUGUAAUAUAUUGGAAAAGAUUUAUCAUUAAAAUUCCUGCACGCUACACCUAAAGCAUGAAUAUUAAUUAUCGAGUUUAAUCAACAAUGCCCUCGACUUGUGUGUUUUCUUUCGACAGACCCAAUCCGAUUUACUAUAGCGGCGAAACAAUUAAUGGUCGCGUUGUUUUAACUAACAGCAGCAACAAGUCUGUGAAUGCUGUCUAUAUAUUAUUUGAAGGCGCCGCUAAAGUGCGCUGGGAGGAGCAUCGAACCCGCACGGUUAAUGGUAGAACGGAAACCUAUACUGUGCACUUCCGUGCCUCAGAAUCGUAUUUGAAUACGUGCACUAAUGUCUUUGGCGAGGGCGAGUUUCCAGCGGGCACACAUACAUACACAUUCAGCAUACCCCUGCCGCUGGAGUGUCCGACCUCGUGUGUGGAGAAGUAUGGCAAGAUAGCGUAUGAAGUGUCACUAGUAAUGGAUCGCUCCUGGAGAUUCAACAAUGUUUUCAAACAACCACUUACAGUGCUGCAGACUUAUAAUCUCAAUAUGUACCCAGAGAUGCUCGUGCCGCUAAAGAACGAGGAUAUCAAGUAUUUCUGCUGCUGGCCUUUUUCGUCAGGUCCAGUCAUCUCUACUCUAACCAUACCAUUUGGUGGCUAUGCGCCCGGCCAGAGAAUACACUACACACUGCAAAUAGACAAUCAAUCGCACGGCUAUGAUCUGCACGGCAUCGAGUUAUCCUUGAUACAGAUCUAUGAGUUCAAGGCCACAUCACCCUCUUACAAAUCACGAAAACAUUCGAAUGUUCUUUCGGAGGAGUACCAGCCCGAGCGAGUACGUCGCCUAUCGAAGAGACUUAUAAAUGCCAGUCUGGUAAUUCCACCGGUGCCUCCGUCGACUAGACAGCAGGGCAUCAUUAAAGUGACCUAUCAGAUCAAAAUGGCCAUUAAGACCGGCGAUUGCCACAGAGAUUCGGAUAUUCAUAUGCCCAUUACAGUUGGCACAAUACCUCUGGCUCAGAGUGCCGAGAAUCCCGCAAAUGCGUCUGAAUGGAUACCUCAGACGCCAGACACUCCAGCCGGAGCCGCAGCUGAUCUGCCGCCGAGCUAUGACCAUUGCCUACCACCUUCCUUCGAAGAAGCCACUCAUAUUGGCUCCAAGUUUGUGGAUACAGAUGUCAAUGAACACAAUCGCACCGACGACUUUAUACCUCGCUAUCCAAUGUAUACAAAUUUUGCGACGCCUUCGGCGCCGUUGCUCGACGAUAGACCGGACGUACCAACAUUAAUAUUGCCGAGUGCGCCGAGACUCAAUUGAAACCCUGUAGGAAAUUUAUCAAAAUUUGUACUUACUCACGUACUAAAACCAAAGCUUUUGUCCCAUAAUUCACUUAUUUCAUAAAUAUGUCUGUGAGCCUAAAGCACCUUUUCCGUGUCGGCAUGCUCGAUCUCGUAGUAGAGAUAACGUGGC